AACGCUGGCGGCAGGCCUAACACAUGCAAGUCGAACGGUAGCACAGAGAGCUUGCUCUCGGGUGACGAGUGGCGGACGGGUGAGUAAUGUCUGGGAAACUGCCUGAUGGAGGGGGAUAACUACUGGAAACGGUAGCUAAUACCGCAUAACGUCGCAAGACCAAAGAGGGGGACCUUCGGGCCUCUUGCCAUCAGAUGUGCCCAGAUGGGAUUAGCUAGUAGGUGGGGUAACGGCUCACCUAGGCGACGAUCCCUAGCUGGUCUGAGAGGAUGACCAGCCACACUGGAACUGAGACACGGUCCAGACUCCUACGGGAGGCAGCAGUGGGGAAUAUUGCACAAUGGGCGCAAGCCUGAUGCAGCCAUGCCGCGUGUAUGAAGAAGGCCUUCGGGUUGUAAAGUACUUUCAGCGGGGAGGAAGGCGGUGAGGUUAAUAACCUCAUCGAUUGACGUUACCCGCAGAAGAAGCACCGGCUAACUCCGUGCCAGCAGCCGCGGUAAUACGGAGGGUGCAAGCGUUAAUCGGAAUUACUGGGCGUAAAGCGCACGCAGGCGGUCUGUCAAGUCGGAUGUGAAAUCCCCGGGCUCAACCUGGGAACUGCAUUCGAAACUGGCAGGCUAGAGUCUUGUAGAGGGGGGUAGAAUUCCAGGUGUAGCGGUGAAAUGCGUAGAGAUCUGGAGGAAUACCGGUGGCGAAGGCGGCCCCCUGGACAAAGACUGACGCUCAGGUGCGAAAGCGUGGGGAGCAAACAGGAUUAGAUACGCUGGUAGUCCACGCCGUAAACGAUGUCGACUUGGAGGUUGUGCCCUUGAGGCGUGGCUUCCGGAGCUAACGCGUUAAGUCGACCGCCUGGGGAGUACGGCCGCAAGGUUAAAACUCAAAUGAAUUGACGGGGGCCCGCACAAGCGGUGGAGCAUGUGGUUUAAUUCGAUGCAACGCGAAGAACCUUACCUACUCUUGACAUCCAGAGAACUUAGCAGAGAUGCUUUGGUGCCUUCGGGAACUCUGAGACAGGUGCUGCAUGGCUGUCGUCAGCUCGUGUUGUGAAAUGUUGGGUUAAGUCCCGCAACGAGCGCAACCCUUAUCCUUUGUUGCCAGCGGUUAGGCCGGGAACUCAAAGGAGACUGCCAGUGAUAAACUGGAGGAAGGUGGGGAUGACGUCAAGUCAUCAUGGCCCUUACGAGUAGGGCUACACACGUGCUACAAUGGCGCAUACAAAGAGAAGCGACCUCGCGAGAGCAAGCGGACCUCAUAAAGUGCGUCGUAGUCCGGAUUGGAGUCUGCAACUCGACUCCAUGAAGUCGGAAUCGCUAGUAAUCGUGGAUCAGAAUGCCACGGUGAAUACGUUCCCGGGCCUUGUACACACCGCCCGUCACACCAUGGGAGUGGGUUGCAAAAGAAGUAGGUAGCUUAACCUUCGGGAGGGCGCUUACCACUUUGUGAUUCAUGACUGGGGUGAAGUCGUAACAAGUAGCCGGUAGGGGAACCUGCGGCUGG
rnacentral:rRNA from 2 species